GCUGCAUGCCCCUCUAUGGGCGUUUCCUCCCAUGACUUGGGCCGCUUGCAGCAAUGCUGGCGGCCUCUUUAUCUGAUGC
rnacentral:sRNA from 1 species